rnacentral:rRNA from 1 species
UACGUAGGUGGCAAGCGUUGUCCGGAUUUACUGGGCGUAAAGAGCGCGCAGGCGGUUGGAUAAGUCGAAUGUGAAAGCCCCCGGCUCAACCGGGGAAGUGCAUCCGAAACUGGCGGGCUAGAGUACGAAAGAGGGUCGCGGAAUUCCCGGUGUAGAGGUGAAAUUCGUAGAUAUCGGGAGGAACACCGGUGGCGAAGGCGGCGACCUGGGUCGAUACUGACGCUGAGGUGCGAAAGCGUGGGGAGCAAACAGG